UUGCUUCAGAGGCUGCAAAUCCAUGAGACCAUGGACCUUCGGCCACUAGGAGGCACUGUGUUUCCAUGGUAAGCAGGGUGCCCUGGGAGGGGUUGAGAGUCACCUGGAGAAGGAAGCUUAAGGGAACCUUGGCUACAUGCCUGCACCUGGGAGCAGGUUUGAGUUCCCUGAGUGGUCCUGGGACACAUGGAGCCAGCACAGACUCCUCUCUGCUCAGGGAAGAGGGGUCGUGCCUGGAGCCUCAGGAUGUGCCCAGGGGGCCAUCUGUGGAGCAGCAUGGGAAGGGGAGGGUGAGAAGUUGGGGUAUCUGGUGAGGGCUGGGUGUCAGGCAGGGUCAGGCGGAGCAGAACAAAUGUGUGUGGACACAUGGGACCAGGGGACGAAGCUCCCCUCACACCUAUCCUUCCUGGCGGCUGUCAGGACAGGGAAUAGCAUAGAGGAGCCAGCCCUGGGUCCUUCCCAGGGGUUCUGGGGAUAAGGGCAGCCUGCAGAGACACAGAGCAGUGACGUCAUAGGCAAAUGCUCCAAUCAGGGAACAGGAGGGUCAGCACUUUACACCACUCAUCCCAGGAGCCCUGCCUCCAGCCAGCAGCAGUCCUGGGUCCUGAUGCUGCCAUGGGCUCCAGGCUCCUCUGCUGUGUGACUCUCUGCCUCCUGGGAGCAGGUCUGGUGGAUUCUGGCGUCACCCAGAUCCCCAAAUAUCUGAUCAAAUCAAGAAAGCAGCAAGUGAUACUGAGAUGUUCCCCUGAGUCUGGACACCUCUCUGUAUCCUGGUACCAACAGGCCCUGGGCCAGGGCCCCCAGUUCCUUGUUCAGUAUUAUAAUGGGCAAGAGAAUGAGAAAGGAAACAUGCCAGAUCGAUUCUCAGGUGAACAAUUCCGUGACUUUAGCUCUCAGAUGAACCUGAGCUCCUUGGAGCUGACAGACUCAGCCGUGUAUCUCUGUGCCAGCAGCCAAGACACAGCCCUGCAUGAUCAGGUGCCUCUGGGACAAAAACACUUCUGCCCUAGCUCAGGAAGUGGUUGUGAGGGUGACUGCCUCUCUUCCAGGCCUAGAUAGAUCCAAUAGACUCUCCCAGAAAUUCUUCCUCUGCUCUGUUUUAAUGCUCCCAAAGAUCAUGCUAGGUAAGUAUUAUUUUACCUGUUCAUACAUCUGAGGGGAACUGACUUGUCCACAUCUUCUAUGUCAUUGCUUUCAGAGCAAGGAAUUUGAUUCAAGCCUGUCCUCAUUACUUUUGGUCUUCGCCCCCAUAAAACUUUCCCCCACAUAGAAUAAAUGAUACACAGAAACACACACACACGCACACAAACACACACAUACACACAUACAUGUUUUAAAGCAAUUGGCUCACAUAGUUGUUAAGGCUGGUAAGUCCAAAUGCUGCAAGCGGGUCUGGUGCUACUAGAGACUGAGGGGGAGCUGAUGUUUAAGUUCAAAAGCAGAAGGACUAAUGGUCCAGUGUGAAGGCCAUCGGCUGACAAUUAUCUCUUACUUGGGGGAAGAU